UACCAGCACCCCGAGUGGUCGGGACGAUUAUUGGGCCUAAAGCAUCCGUAGCCGGUUUUACAAGUCCUCCGUUAAAUCCAACUGCUUAACAGAUGGGCCGCGGAGGAUACUAUAAGACUAGGAGGCAGGAGAGGCAAGCGGUACUCAGUGGGUAGGGGGGUAAAAAUCCGUUGAUCCAUUGAAGACCACCAGUGGCGAAGGCGGCUUGCCAGAAUGCGCUCGACGGUGAGGGAUGAAAAGCUGGGGGG
rnacentral:rRNA from 1 species